CCUACGGGAGGCAGCAGUGGGGAAUCUUGCGCAAUGGGCGGAAGCCUGACGCAGCAACGCCGCGUGCGGGAAGAAGGCCUUAGGGUCGUAAACCGCUUUCAGGGGGGACGAAGCUUCCGGGGUUAAUAGCCUACGGGGUGACGGUACUCCCAAAAGAAGGUCCGGCUAACUACGUGCCAGCAGCCGCGGUAAUACGUAGGGACCGAGCGUUGUCCGGAAUCAUUGGGCGUAAAGAGCGUGUAGGCGGCCUAGUAGGUCUCGUGUGAAAUCCCGUGGCUCAACCACGGACACGCACGGGAAACCCCUAGGCUCGAGUCCGGAAGAGGAGAGCGGAAUUCCUGGUGUAGCGGUGAAAUGCGCAGAUAUCAGGAAGAACACCCGUAGCGAAGGCGGCUCUCUGGGACGGUACUGACGCUGAGACGCGAAAGCGUGGGGAGCAAACAGGAUUAGAUACCCUGGUAGUCCACGCCGUAAACGAUGGAUGCUAGGUGUGGGAGGUGUCGACUCCUCCCGUGCCGAAGCUAACGCAUUAAGCAUCCCGCCUGGGGAGUACGGCCGCAAGGCAAAACGUCAAAGGAAUUGACGGCUGAGACGNGCGAGCGACGACGAGGAGAG
rnacentral:rRNA from 1 species